AAUAAUUAUAUUAAUAUCAUCAUCCAAAUAAUACUUUUUUUUUCUGAGAAAAAGAUAGCAUGCUAUCCAUUUCAUUCAUUGAAAAAGUGAAUUAAGCUACAAGGGUGAGUCAGUACACUCAGUACAGGUCUCGAACAAGGCAAAAAAAAAAAAAAUCCACACAUUGAUUCAUANGCUAUUUAUUUAUUUAUUUAUUAUUGUUAAUUUAUAGGUGAUCCUAUCCCUCACCAACUGCUGCAGUUGGAACUACGGCCAAUUUAGAUGUAGUUCCAACUGCAGCAUUUGGAUCUUCUUGUGUAGUUGGAACUGCAGCAGUUGAACUCAACUACACUAAACCAAACAAAGAAAUUUAGGCUGCACGCAUUUGCAACUGCACUGCAGUUGUAAAUGCGUGCAACCAAACAGCCCCUUAAUUAUUGUAUUUUUAUAUACCAUGACAACAUAAAAUAAUAUAUAAAAAGAACAAAUUCACAAUUAAAAAAAAAACAAAAAAAAUCCAUAUACAUACCUUGUAUUUUGCAUCACAAUUAAAAAGUUGGAAGAAAAGAAAUAAAUUGGCACUUAAAUAGGAUUGGAUUUGGUCUUUGAAAUAUUGAUUAAUAUAUUUGUAACAACCUAACCAGCAAGCAACAAUAACUCGUUGGGCCUAAAUUACCGGCUCAAAAUAUUUAAGCCCAGUUGUUAUUAUUAGCGUAUAGGUCUCAUAUAUUCUAAUCAGAUUCAGUUUCUCACAUCGUCGAUGUGGGAUUAGACGUCUAAUUUCGUUGGUGUAGCAUUCUACCCCGCAUAACACUUAAUUCUCACACUUCCGACUGGUAUUAGGCUCUGAUGCCAAUUGUAACGAUCCGACCCGCUAGCAAUAAUAACUCGUUGAACUCAAAUCACUGACACAAAAUACUUAAGUUCGGUUAUUAUUACUAAUGUGUAGACCUCACAUAUUCUAAUUAGAAUCAAUUUUUCAUUCGAUAUGGAACUAUUGGGGUGUUACAAUAUUAAUUAGAUUCAAUAUAAUGGGAGAGGUAAAGAGGAAGAUUAUGUAGGAUAAAGGAGGCUAGAGUUUUUUUUUUUGGCUAUUGCUAAGGGAGAAAGAAAAAAAAAAAUUAAUGAGUU
rnacentral:lncRNA from 1 species